rnacentral:lncRNA from 1 species
CACGGCAUGGUGCACCUUCGGCUUGCUCUGGAAAAGAAAGUGCAGGCAGCACGGCUCCAUCGCCCACACACUGCCAUGUGGUCAGGGUGAUGCAGCGCUGCUCUUGCUCAACCCUUGGACCGGCACUAGGGUCUCCAUCCAGCAGGGUCUGCUGCGAUGUGGCAUGUAGUGAAAACCCUCCUUGUGCCUUGGCUUUGAAACAAAGCAUGGCCAUAGCUCUGAAAUGAUGUUAUGGAGCUCUGACCAAAAGACAACUCACAGGAUUCUGGAAUGGUUUCUAUGCACUAACAGAAUGAGGAGCACAGCAGAGACAAUGCAUGCUGUACCAUGGGUUUAUGAGCGCCUCCAGCAGCACGCCCAACCUGCCUGUGGCCACUGCUUGCCCUUCUCCUGCAGUCUCAGAGCAAGAUGUGUGGCAUAGGCUCACCAUCCCUGCUGCCUGCAUCAGGGAGGUGUUAUUUAAUGGGAAGGGACUGUAUGGUUUUCUCCCAACACCUGAUUUUGCUAUUAGUGCUCUGGGAUACAGAGAGGGGAAGGACACUAACAGGAGCUUUUCAUGCUCAUCCUUUGCUCAGACUGAUGACAUAAGGAAAUACUUGUGUGUGAUUUCUGAGUUACAACUGAACUUUUGGUCAAAGAUACAGCAAAGCCAGCAUGUGAAACUUGAGCUGAAUGUAAAUUCAAUCCAGGAAAUUGUUUAGGUACCUGCCUAAUUUUAACCAGUGAAAUAGUCCUACUGCAUUCACCUGAAUUACUUGAGUGCUUGAAGAUAAACAUUUGCCAACAUCAACCCCCGAGCCCCCUGAUCUGUGCUUCUCCAAGACCUGCAUGGGGUUGGGGCUGGGCAAGCAAAGUGAGGGUCUCCUGUAAACCGUGCUUCAAGUAGGUACCGGUCACACAUAGGCAGGUAUCUCAGAGCAGUAAGUACCACACCAAAGGCAAUCUCCAUCCUUUUUCCAGUGUUCACCCCUCAGUCCUUGUCUUGCUGGGAAACAAAUGUCUCCAAAUGCCCACCAUCCCUGACCUCAAGGGCGCUACAUGCCCAAGGGCUGAGCACGUGCCCAUGUGCCACCAGCGAUGCCCAUGCCAUCAUGGUGGGACCAGGCUCGGUGUUGGGAUGGGGGUGAAGCACCUCUGCGCAGCCAGGGCCCGUCCACAUCACCGGUACCUGCUGUGGGGCACACUCGGUGCCUUUUUCCCUGUGCAGCCAAGCUACCUUUCUUCCAGGAGGCCAGUGGAGGUCUCUAUAUUUUAUUCACAUAAUCCAGACCUUCAG